rnacentral:lncRNA from 1 species
AUGACGAUGGUUAUAGUAAAAGAGAUGACCAAAGUGAUUAUGCCUUAUUAAAAAAAGGAUUAUAUAAAAAAAAACUUGCACAUAGAAGAAAACGAACAUAAUCAUAAGGACAAUAAUAGGGAUAGAAAUAGAGACAGUAAUAGGGACAGCAAUAGGAGGAGCAAUAGGGACAACAAUAGGAGGAGCAAUAGGAGGAACAAUAAUGAUAGCAAUAGGAGAAGCAAUAAUGAUAGCAAUAGGAGAAGCAAUAAGAGGAGUAAUAGGAACAACACUAGAGACAGUAAUAGAGACAGUAAUACUAGCACUAAUGAUGAUGUUACUUAUCGUAGUAGUGAUUAUAAACAUAAUGAUAAUCAUAGAAAUAACAAGUACUAUCGGUAUAAAGACAAAAAAUAUACAAAAGAAGAAGAACGAUAUAGAAAACACACAAAAAAAGAAAAAAAGUGAUAUAACAGAUUCAAAAUAUCAAAAAAAAAAAGUACCCACUACUAUAUCUACAAAUAUUACCCCAAAUAGUGCAACUAUUGCAUCUACAAAUACAAAUAAUAAUUUGGAAGAAUAUAUGUAUAAUCAAAAACACGGUGAUAAUAGUUUCUCAACUAAGUAUAAUAAUAACAAUAAUAACUCUUUAUUACAUUACCCAUAUAAUGUAAAUAAGGAUAGUACACAAGACCAAGACGGUCCUGAAUGUUUAAACCCCUACGCAUAUCACAAUAAUGACAAUAUCGAUUAUUACUACAGUAACAGUAGUAGCAAAUUGGACCAAAACCAAAAUAAUUAUAUAAACCGGACGAACACAAGUAUGAAUAGCAAUAGUAGUAUCAGUAAUAAUAAUAACAAUAACUAUAAUAAUAAAGAUAAAGAUUUCCAAACAAUGCUUGCAAAUUUAAAUAACAUAGAAAUUACAGAUACUAAAAUUUUGUUAUUAUAUACAUGCAAGUUACUAUUACGUAUGUAUGAAGAAAAAAGUAUUAAUGACGCAAAAGAUAAAAUUAAUAUAUCUAUAACAUCAAUAGAAAUGUUAAGAGAAUUAAAAAGCCAUAAUCCAAAAAAAGUUAAAUUAUUAAAAAUUAAUACUCUUAAUGAUAUACUAAUACAUCUUUCAAAAAAAAGUGAUAAGAGCAGUGUGAAUGAAAAAAAGGUUAAGGAUGAAAAUAAAAUUUAUAACAUCAGUAACGACUAUAACAUUUGUAAUUACUCAAACAAAUAUAACA